GGGACCGUUGUGAUGGUGCAGUUAUUCUGCUACCAUGGCACCUGGCACCGGUUCAGUGCGCGCACGGAGUCCGGCGAACAGCGCAAGAUGUCGUGGAGCAGGCAAAAGUCGGACCGGGCUGCUCUUUCUGCUUGCUGCUCCGCUGGGCUCUGGCGUAGAGCAACACCUGCUGCACCUCGUCCAGCUGCGCCUCCAGGAAGGGGAAGUGGAAGUCUGUACACUCCUUCGCGACAGUCGCAAAGUCUGAGGGGGGGAAGAUAAAGUUGGUACACAGCCACAAUUAAAAAGGAGAAUGGACCGCCUGGUCUAUAAGCAUACCAUCAAAGGAGUGCUACCCCCCUUCUUUAAACACUUUAAAUGAGCAAACUAACCCCCCCCCUCCCUACCUCUUUUGAUGCCGCUGUAGGAGUUGACCCUGUUGUCGACCAACAGCACCAGACCACAGAGGGAGGAGGAGUAGAGCGAGAGGGCCGUCUGCAGCCGCCUCAGCUUGGCGCCGCCGCUGCCGUGCCGCCGGUGCUUAUAGAAGUCCAGCACGUCGGCCCGGAUCAGCCGCAGGAAUUUUAGUGAGUCGCGCUACCAAAAAGCAAAACAGAUACGAGUGUUUCGGGGAGACUGUCGUUGAGGUUUCUGCGCGAGGACUCGGAGAGCGUGUUAGAAGUGGAGCACCUAAGUGGAUGGUGCAACUCUCCUUCAGCGGAGGCUGCUCCUCAAACAUCCUGGGUUCGGAAUCCGCCUGCUCCGACUGCUGGCUGUGCUGCACCAUAAUCUCCUCACUGGAAAUAAAGAGAUCUAUUUUUA